CCUACGGGUGGCAGCAGUGGGGAAUAUUGCACAAUGGAGGGAACUCUGAUGCAGCGACGCAGCGUGAGGGAAGAAGGAAUUCGUUAUGGAAAGCUCUAUCAGCAGGGAAGAAAGUGAAGGUACCUGAAAAAGAAGCUCCGGAUAAAUACGUGCCAGCAGCCGCGGUAAUACGUAUGGAGCAAGCGUUAUCCGGAUUUACUGGGUGUAAAGGGAGAGUAGGUGGCAGAGGAAGUCAGUAGUGAAAAUCUAAAGCUCAACUAUGAGAAUGCUUUAGAAACUGCUAAGCUAGAGUGCAGGUGAGGCAAGUGGAAUUCUUGGUGUAGCGGUGAAAUGCGUAGAUAUUAGGAGGAACACCAGUGGCGAAGGCGGCUUGCUGGACUGUAACUGACACUGAGGCUCGAAAGCGUGGGGAGCAAACAGGAUUAGAUACCCUUGUAGUC
rnacentral:rRNA from 1 species